rnacentral:lncRNA from 1 species
CCCAGCCCCAGCCCCAGCCCCAGCCCCCACUCCCAAGUCAGCCCCAGGCACAGAAGAGACGAUUCACAGAGGAGCUACCAGAUGAACGGGAAUCUGGACUGCUUGGAUACCAGCAUGGACCCAUUCAUAUGACUAAUUUAGGUACAGGCUUCUCCAGUCAGAAUGAGAUUGAAGGUGCAGGAUCGAAGCCAGCAAGUUCCUCAGGCAAAGAGAGAGAGAGGGACAGGCAGUUGAUGCCUCCACCAGCCUUUCCAGUGACUGGAAUAAAAACAGAGUCCGAUGAAAGGAAUGGGUCUGGGACCUUAACAGGGAGCCAUGGUGAGUGUGAUAUAGCUGGGGGAACAGGGGAGUGGCUAACUAAGACUGGUCUAAAGCUAUUAGUUUUCUCAGCUGGGCGCGGUGGCUCACGCCUGUAAUCCCAGCACUUUGGGAGGCCGAGGUGGGCGGAUCACCUAAGGUCAGGAGUUCAAGACCAGCUUGGCCAACAUAGUGAAAUCCCAUCUCUACUAAAAAUACAAAAACUAGCGGGCAUGGUGGUGGGCGCCUGUAAUCCCAGCUACUCAGGGGGUUGAGGCAGGAGAAUCGCUUCAACCUGGGAGGCAGAGGUUGCAGUGAGCCAAGAUCAGACCACUGCCCUCCAGCCUGGGCAAUAGAGCAAGACUCCAUCUCACAAAUAAAUAAAUACAUAAAUAAAGCUAUUAGUUUUCUAACCUGAUGUUCAUUCAGGUGUUUAAUCCAACCUCUAUAAUCUGUUGGCCAGUGAAAAUACUUUUGGGCCGGGCACGGUGGCUCACGCCUGUAAUCCCAGCACUUCGGGAGGCCAAGGUGGGCGGAUAACCUGAGGUCAGGAGUUUGAGACCAGCGUGGCUAACACGGUGAAACCCCGUCUCUACUAAAAAUAGAAAAAUUAAGCUGGGCAUGGUGGUGCAUGCCUGUAAUUCCAGCGACUUGGAAGGCUGAGGCAGGAGAAUCGCUUGAACUUGGGAGGUGGAGGUUGCAGUGAGCCAAGAUCACACCACUGCAUUCCAGCCUGGGCACUAGAGUGAGACUCUGUCUCAAAAAAAAGAAAGAGAAAAUAGUUUCUAAAAAAUUGUAUACAGACAACCUUUUAUUUCCAACAAACGUGUGUCGAGAGAGAGAGAGAGAGAAAAUAGUUUUAAAAAAUUGUAUACAGACAACCUUUCCUUUCCAACCAACGUGUGUCGAGAGAAAAUAGUUUUAAAAAAAUUGUAUACAGACAACCUUUCAUUUCCAACCAACGUGUGUCGAGACAGAGAGAAAAAAUAGUUUUAAAAAAAUUGUAUACAGACAACCUUUUGUUUCCAACCAACGUGUAUCUAGAAAAGAGUUAGUCGACUUAUUUUAUACAUAGCAUCAGUGAAUACUAAUGAGUGGUAGGUCAUUUCAAAAUCCUGUUGCCUAUAUUAUGUGAAUACCAGGAGGUCAUCUGAUACGGACUUAAUAAAGGUUGAUUUUGCUUUAUAUUGGGAGCUGAGCCACACCUCCCCUUAUAACUCUUGGUCAGUAAUGGUCAGUUUGUGGCUGUUAGGAAAAUGUUGCUUUUUAGCAUUCCAGAACUCUAAAUCCUGUAGAGGUACAUGGGAUAUUUUAUUCUUUGCCUAUACUUAUAAAAAUGAACAGAAGAAAAUACGUUUUUUUCUUUUCUUAACUUCUUUUCUUUUAACUCUUUAAAAGGUGAAAUAUCAGCCCUCAAGAGACUCACUUGCUAACUUUCCUUUUUUUCUUUUUUUUUCUUUUUUUGUGUUUCUUUUUUCUUUCUCUGUUUUCUUACAUGGUUCUGGUGGAUUCACAUUUGCUGAUGCUGGUGCUGUUUUUCGUGUGAUCUUCAACGUUUUUGGGUGACCAUUGACCCUGUGACCUCAAAAUGGUGUCCAACUAACCACUUAAAAUUAACAUCUUUUUUUUUAAUUAACGAAUUUAUGGUAUUUUUUUUUUUCCCUUGGCGGGGAUGGGGUUGGGGUUGUUUUUUCUCUAUUCUAGAUUAUCCAGCCAAGAAGAUGAAAACUACAGAGAAGGGAUUUGGCUUGGUGGCUUAUGCCGCAGAUUCAUCUGAUGAAGAGGAGGAACAUGGAGGUCAUAAAAAUGCAAGUAGUUUUCCACAGGGCUGGAGUUUGGGAUACCAAUAUCCUUCAUCACAACCACGAGCGAAACAACAGAUGCCAUUCUGGAUGGCUCCCUAGGAAACAGUGGAACAGAGUUUUGACUCUCAGUGACUCUUCUUAGCAAUAAUGCAUGCAUUUGAUUUAACAAGACUCUGGGGCCUGUGCUGGGAACCAUCUUGGACCUUUGCAGAAGUUAGAGAUUCAGUGCCCCCCUUUCUUAAAGGGGUUCCUUAACAACAACAAAAAUCCUUAUUUCUGCAGUGGCAUAGAAUCUGUUAAAAUUUAAUUAGAAUCACAAAUUUAUCUCAGAAGCUUUUUAACAGUUGGUGAAAUGUGCUUGUCCAACAAAGCAUCCUAACAGGGUCGUUCCCAUACACAUUUGACCUGGUCAGCCUUUUCCAAGUGAAUAGCCCCAAUUCUGACAUAAAGAAAGUUUUAUUUGUAUUUUACUACUGUUCGGUCAAUUUUGAUAUAUAACUGGUUACAAACAGAGCCUUACUGUUUAUUAGUGGGGAAAUGAUUUUAAGACCGUCCUUUUCAGUAUUUAAUUCUGACAGAUCUGCAUCCCUGUUUCGUUUUGGAUUAUUUCUGUUUUGGAAAAUGCUGUCUCAUUUAAAACUGUUGGAUAUAGCUGGAUCCUGGAUAGGAAAAUGAAAUUAUUUUUUCAUUGUGUUUUUUAAUUGGGGUGAUCCAAAGCUGGCACCUUCAGGCACAUUGGUCUCAUAGCCAUUACUGUUUUUAUUGCCCUUCUAAGAUCCUGUCUUCAGCUGGGUCAGAGAAAACUUCUUGACUAAAACUGGUCAGAACUCAUCACAGAAAUGAAAUACAGUGGUCUCUCUCUCCCAGAACUGGUUGCAGCUAAAAUAGAGAGAUCUGACUGCUGGCUAUAGGAUUUUGGACUUAAUGACUGAAAUUGCAAAUUGUCCUUUUUCUUGGCAUUACAGAUUUUGCCAAAAUAACUUUUUGUAUCAAAUAUUGAUGUGUGAAAGUGAAGGAGCUAGUCUGCUGAACCAGGAAUAGUUUGAGAUAUUGAACUGUCAUUUUUGCACAUUUGAAUACUUUGCAGGCUGGCUUUGUAUAAACUUAUCCUCUGGUUUCCUAUAUGUUG